AACCCCUAUCCUUAGUUGCCAUCAUUAAGUUGGGCACUCUAAGGAAACUGCCGGUGUCAAACCGGAGAAGUGGGGAUGACGUCAAGUCCUCAUGGCCCUUAUGACCAGGGCUACACACGUGCUACAAUGGGCGGUACAAAGAGAAGCAACCUCGCGAGGGUGAGCAAAUCUCAAAAAGCCGUUCUCAGUUCGGAUUGAAGUCUGCAACUCGACUUCAUGAAGUCGGAAUCGCUAGUAAUCGCGGAUCAGCAUGCCGCGGUGAAUACGUUCCCGGGCCUU
rnacentral:rRNA from 1 species